rnacentral:rRNA from 1 species
GAUGAACGCUGGCGGCGUGCUUAACACAUGCAAGUCGAACGGAAAGGCUCCUGCUUGCCGGGGUCCUCGAGUGGCGAACGGGUGAGUAACACGUGGGUGAUCUGCCCUGCACUUCGGGAUAAGCCUGGGAAACUGGGUCUAAUACCGGAUAGGACCACAUUUUGGAUGGUGUGGUGGAAAGUUUUUCGGUGUGGGAUGAGCUCGCGGCCUAUCAGCUUGUUGGUGGGGUAAUGGCCUACCAAGGCGUCGACGGGUAGCCGGCCUGAGAGGGUGUACGGCCACAUUGGGACUGGGAUACGGCCCAGACUCCUACGGGAGGUAGCAGUGGGGAAUAUUGCACAAUGGGCGCAAGCCUGAUGCAGCGACGCCGCGUGGGGGAUGACGGCCUUCGGGUUGUAAACUCCUUUCGCUAGGGACGAAGCGUGUUUGUGACGGUACCUGGAGAAGAAGCACCGGCUAACUACGUG